UGGGGAAUAUUGCACAAUGGAGGGAACUCUGAUGCAGCGACGCCGCGUGAACGAAGAAGGCUUUCGAGUCGUAAAGUUCUUUUAUAUGGGAAGAUAAUGACGUUACCAUAAGAAAAAGCCCCGGCUAACUACGUGCCAGCAGCCGCGGUAUUACGUAGGGGGCUAGCGUUGUCCGGAAUCACUGGGCGUAAAGGGUUCGCAGGCGGAAAUGCAAGUCAGGUGUAAAAGGCAGUAGCUUAACUACUGUAAGCAUUUGAAACUGCAUAUCUUGAGAAGAGUAGAGGUAAGUGGAAUUUUUAGUGUAGCGGUGAAAUGCGUAGAUAUUAAAAAGAAUACCGGUGGCGAAGGCGACUUACUGGGCUCAUUCUGACGCUGAGGAACGAAAGCGUGGGUAGCAAACAGG
rnacentral:rRNA from 1 species